rnacentral:misc_RNA from 1 species
GAUGAAGAACGUAGCGAAAUGCGAUAAGUAAUGUGAAUUGCAGAAUUCAGUGAAUCAUCGAAUCUUUGAACGCACCUUGCGCCCUUUGGCCAUUCCGAAGGGCAUGCCUGUUUGAGUAUCAUGAACACCUCAACUCUUCAUGGUUUUCCAUGAUGAGCUUGGACUUUGGGGGUCUUGCUGGCCUGUGGGUCGGCUCCUCUCAAAUGAAUCAGCUUGCCGGUUUUUGGUGGGCAUCACAGGUGUGAUAACUAUCUACGCUUGUGGUUUUCCACCAGGGUAACCUUCAGCAGUGGAGGUUCACUGGAGCUUACAAAUGUCUCUCCUCUGUGAGGACAGCCCUUUGAAUGUUUGAUCUCAAAUCAGGUAGGACUACACGCUGAACUUAAGCAUAUCAAUAAGCGGAGGA